rnacentral:misc_RNA from 1 species
AGUCGUAACAAGGUUUCCGUAGGUGAACCUGCGGAAGGAUCAUUAACGUGCUUCAAAAACAAAACAAAACCAACCCGUGAACUUAAAACUGUAUGUUUUAUAAAUAAUUAACAUUCUAUGUGAAAGCAUAGUUUUGUUGAUUAUUUAUUUAUUCACCCCCUCUUUUAACCACAAAUCUCUUAACAAAGAUGCGUGGAUUAAAAAACCUUUAAUCCCAUUCAUUCUGAAAAAACUUGUUUUCGAUUUAUUUUGGAAACAAAAAUUAAAUUGACGACUUUCAACGGUGGAUCUCUAGGCUCGU